CCUACGGGAGGCAGCAGUGGGGGAUAUUGCACAAUGGGGGAAACCCUGAUGCAGCGACGCCGCGUGGGUGAAGAAGCGCCUCGGCGCGUAAAGCCCUGUCAGCAGGGAAGAAAAUGACGGUACCUGAAGAAGAAGCCCCGGCUAACUACGUGCCAGCAGCCGCGGUAAUACGUAGGGGGCAAGCGUUAUCCGGAUUUACUGGGUGUAAAGGGGGCGCAGACGGCGAUGCAAGCCAGGAGUGAAAGCCCGGGGCCCAACCCCGGGACUGCGCUUGGAACUGCGUGGCGAGAGUGCAGGAGGGGCAGGCGGAAUUCCUGGUGUAGCGGUGAAAUGCGUAGAUAUCAGGAGGAACACCGGUGGCGAAGGCGGCCUGCUGGACGGCAACUGACGUUGAGGCCCGAAAGCGUGGGGAGCAAACAGGAUUAGAUACCCCUGUAGUC
rnacentral:rRNA from 1 species